AAACUGUGGUGUGGGCAUGAACUGACAAGACCCUUGAACCUUUCCCAACAUUAGAAAAAUGUUUUAUCAUCCUUUUGGGCGAAGCUCAUGAUUGACUUUCUAAGGGU